UCAUGAGUUUCCAACACAAGCCGCCAGAGAAAGGGAGCUAUCAAGAUUUUGGUGAUGAGAGAGAAGCUGUAGCACAUGUGUUGCAGGUCUACGGAUCUCGGUGCAAUUUGUUCAGUAUAUGGAGCAAUGCAAUGAGUAUUCCAACCCUGAACAGCUGGGAAAGGAGAAAGAUGUGAAAAAUGAGGAGGGAUCCAGGUGGAAAGAAGAUGAAGAUCCAAUUUUUAUCCAAUGGCACAGAAGGCUCUUCAUGUCCAUGCUCUGUUAAUGUCACCUUCCCCAAGCCGUGUCUGCACCAACUGCCCUGCACAAACCGCCACAGGACACCCACAACCCUGCACCCUGCCCUAGUCUUCUCUGCAUUUUCCCUCAAGCUCCAUGUUGCCUGCCGAUGUCUGCUUUUACAAUUCCCUCUUUCCAGAGUAUUCCCUUCAACUUCCUCAUUCUCAUUUCAACUAAUUUUUACUGGUACUCCAGUCCUCAUCCUGCAGGGCACCCCUUUGGAGUCAUUUUCUGACCUGGAGGUUUUAUAGAAAAUGUUCCUCUCUGUUUACCCUAUCAUGGCAGUGGUUUGCCAUAGGACAAUUGCCUGCUAAUUUCUCUGUCUCCUUCAUUACCUGGAAGCUCCUGGAGGGCAGGAUUUAUAUAAUCUUCACCACUGUUUUCCUAGUAGUUAGGAGUACCCAACCAAUAACAGUCACUCAAUAAAUACUUUUUGAAUAAA